GCAGACACAUUCCAGCCAAUCAGCAGCAGACCCUCCCUUCCAGACCCUCCCACCUCCUGGACAGCUCACUAAGAAUGCAGCUUCACAAAAUGGAUGCUGUCCAGGAGGUGGGAGGGUCUGGGAGGGAGGGUCUGCUGCUGAUUGGCUGGAAUGUGUCUG